GUAGGGGCCGAGCGUUGUCCGGAGUUACUGGGCGUAAAGCGCGCGCAGGCGGCCUGCUCUGCCCGGCGUGAAAGCCCCCGGCUCAACCGGGGAGGGUCGUCGGGGACGGGCAGGCUUGAGGCCGGCAGGGGCAGGUGGAAUUCCCGGUGUAGUGGUGAAAUGCGUAGAGAUCGGGAGGAACACCCGUGGCGAAGGCGGCCUGCUGGGCCGGACCUGACGCUGAGGCGCGAAGGCGUGGGGAGCGAACGGGAUUAGAUACCCCGGUAGUCCACGCAGUAAACGAUGCCGACGAGGCGUGGGGGGAGUUGACCCCCUCCGUGCCGGAGCCAACGCGGUAAGUCGGCCGCCUGGGGAGUACGGCCGCAAGGCUAAA
rnacentral:rRNA from 1 species